rnacentral:rRNA from 1 species
GACGAACGCUGGCGGCGUGCUUAACACAUGCAAGUCGAACGAAGUGGCGAACGGGUGAGUAACGCGUAAUCAACCUGCCCUUCAGAGGGGGACAACAGUUGGAAACGACUGCUAAUACCGCAUACUGAAGGAGGGGAUUGCGUCUGAUUCGCUAGUUGGAGGGGUAAAGGCCCACCAAGGCGAUGAUCAGUAGCCGGUCUUGGAGGAUGGACGGCCACAUUGGGACUGGGGACCGGGCCAGACUCCUACGGGGGGCAGCAGUGGGGAAUCUUCCGCAAAGGACGAAAGGCUGACGGAGCAAAGCCGCGUGAGGGAUAGCGGCCUUCGGGUUGUAAAGCUCUGUUAAGCGGGACGCGGUACCAGAAUAGAAAGCCACGGCUAACUACGUGCCAGCAGCCGCGGUAAUAC